rnacentral:misc_RNA from 1 species
GAUGAAGAACGUAGCGAAAUGCGAUACUUGGUGUGAAUUGCAGAAUCCCGUGAACCAUCGAGUCUUUGAACGCAAGUUGCGCCCGAAGCCACUAGGCCGAGGGCACGCCUGCCUGGACGUCACACGUCGUUGACCCCCCCCCAUCUACUCCUUCGGGAUUGCGGGGGGCGGAUGAUGGCCUCCCGUGCGCCUAGCCGCGCGGUUGGCAUAAAUACCAAGUCCUCGGCGACGCACGCCACGACAAUCGGUGGUUGCGAAACCUCGGUUGCCCGUCGUGUGCGUUCGUCGCGCAUCGAGGGCUCGAAAAAAUGCUCGGCUCCGGCUCGGCUUUCAACGCGACCCCAGGUCAGGCGGGGUUACCCGCUGAAUUUAAGCAUAUCAAUAAGCGGAGGA